GACGAACGCUGGCGGCGUGCCUAACACAUGCAAGUCGAGCGAAUGAAGUUCCUUCGGGAAUGGAUUUAGCGGCGGACGGGUGAGUAACACGUGGGCAACCUGCCUCAUAGAGGGGAAUAGCCUUCCGAAAGGGAGAUUAAUACCGCAUAAGAUUGUAGUAUCGCAUGAUACAGCAAUUAAAGGAGCAAUCCGCUAUGAGAUGGACCCGCGGCGCAUUAGCUAGUUGGUGAGGUAACGGCCCACCAAGGCGACGAUGCGUAGCCGACCUGAGAGGGUGAUCGGCCACACUGGGACUGAGACACGGCCCAGACUCCUACGGGAGGCAGCAGUGGGGUAUAUUGCACAAUGGGGGAAACCCUGAUGCAGCAACGCCGCGUGAGUGAUGACGGCCUUCGGGUUGUAAAGCUCUGUCUUCAGGGACGAUAAUGACGGUACCUGAGGAGGAAGCCACGGCUAACUACGUG
rnacentral:rRNA from 1 species